rnacentral:rRNA from 1 species
UUAAGUUAAUAAGGGCGCACGGUGGAUGCCUUGGCACUAGAAGCCGAUGAAGGACGUGACUAACGACGAAAUGCUUUGGGGAGCUGUAAGUGAGCAAUGAUCCAGAGAUGUCCGAAUGGGGGAACCCGGCAGGUAAUGCCUGUCACUCAUUACUGUUAAGGUAAUGUAGAGGAAGACGCAGUGAACUGAAACAUCUAAGUAGCUGCAGGAAGAGAAAGCAAAAGCGAUUGCCUUAGUAGCGGCGAGCGAAACGGCAAGAGGGCAAACCGAAGAGUUUACUCUUCGGGGUUGUAGGACUGCAACGUGGACUUAAAGAUUAUAGAAGAACUACCUGGGAAGGUAGGCCAAAGAGAGUAAUAGCCUCGUAUUCGAAAUAGUCUUUAUACCUAGCAGUAUCCUGAGUACGGCGAGACACGAGAAAUCUCGUCGGAAUCUGGGAGGACCAUCUCCCAACCCUAAAUACUCUCUAGUGACCGAUAGUGAACCAGUACCGUGAGGGAAAGGUGAAAAGCACCCCGGGAGGGGAGUGAAAUAGAACCUGAAACCGUGUGCCUACAACAAGUUCGAGCCCGUUAAUGGGUGAGAGCGUGCCUUUUGUAGAAUGAACCGGCGAGUUACGAUAUGAUGCGAGGUUAAGUUGAAGAGACGGAGCCGUAGGGAAACCGAGUCUUAAUAGGGCGCAUUAGUAUCAUGUCGUAGACCCGAAACCAUGUGACCUACCCAUGAGCAGGUUGAAGGUGAGGUAAAACUCACUGGAGGACCGAACCAGGGCACGUUGAAAAGUGCUUGGAUGACUUGUGGGUAGCGGAGAAAUUCCAAACGAACUUGGAGAUAGCUGGUUCUCUCCGAAAUAGCUUUAGGGCUAGCGUCGAUGUUAAGUCUCUUGGAGGUAGAGCACUGUUUGGGUGAGGGGUCCAUCCCGGAUUACCAAUCUCAGAUAAACUCCGAAUGCCAAAGAAUUAUGGUCGGCAGUCAGACUGCGAGUGCUAAGAUCCGUAGUCGAAAGGGAAACAGCCCAGACCACCAGCUAAGGUCCCAAAAUAUAUGUUAAGUGGAAAAGGAUGUGGGGUUGCACAGACAACUAGGAUGUUAGCUUGGAAGCAGCUAUUCAUUCAAAGAGUGCGUAAUAGCUCACUAGUCGAGUGACCCUGCGCCGAAAAUGUACCGGGGCUAAAACAUAUUACCGAAGCUGUGGAUACCUUUAUAGGUAUGGUAGGAGAGCGUUCUAUGUGCGAAGAAGGUGUACCGUGAGGAGUGCUGGAGCGCAUAGAAGUGAGAAUGCCGGUAUGAGUAGCGAAAGACAGGUGAGAAUCCUGUCCACCGUAAGACUAAGGUUUCCAGGGGAAGGCUCGUCCGCCCUGGGUUAGUCGGGACCUAAGGAGAGACCGAAAGGUGUAUCCGAUGGACAACAGGUUGAUAUUCCUGUACUAGAGUAUAUAGUGAUGGAGGGACGCAGUAGGCUAACUAAACCAGACGAUUGGAAGUGUCUGGCCAAGCAGUGAGGUGUGAUAUGAGUCAAAUGCUUAUAUCUAUAACAUUGAGCUGUGAUGGGGAGCGAAGUUUAGUAGCGAAGUUAGUGAUGUCACACUGCCAAGAAAAGCUUCUAGCGUUAAUUAUACUCUACCCGUACCGCAAACCGACACAGGUAGUCGAGGCGAGUAGCCUCAGGUGAGCGAGAGAACUCUCGUUAAGGAACUCGGCAAAAUGGCCCCGUAACUUCGGGAGAAGGGGCGCUGACUUAUGGUCAGCCGCAGUGAAUAGGCCCAAGCAACUGUUUAUCAAAAACACAGCUCUCUGCUAAAUCGUAAGAUGAUGUAUAGGGGGUGACGCCUGCCCGGUGCUGGAAGGUUAAGAGGAGUGCUUAGCGUAAGCGAAGGUAUGAAUUGAAGCCCCAGUAAACGGCGGCCGUAACUAUAACGGUCCUAAGGUAGCGAAAUUCCUUGUCGGGUAAGUUCC